rnacentral:rRNA from 1 species
CCUACGGGAGGCUGCAGUGAGGAAUAUUGGUCAAUGGACGCAAGUCUGAACCAGCCAUGCCGCGUGCAGGAAGACGGCUCUAUGAGUUGUAAACUUCUUUUGUACGAGGGUAAAAUCAGACACGCGUAUCUGUCUGAAAGUACCGUACGAAUAAGGAUCGGCUAACUCCGUGCCAGCAGCCGCGGUAAUACGGAGGAUUCAAGCGUUAUCCGGAUUUAUUGGGUUUAAAGGGUGCGUAGGCGGUCGGAUAAGUUAGAGGUGAAAUCCCGGGGCUCAACUUCGGAAUUGCCUCUGAUACUGUGCGGCUUGAGAGUAGUUGCGGUAGGCGGAAUGUGUGGUGUAGCGGUGAAAUGCUUAGAGAUCAUGCAGAACACCGAUUGCGAAGGCAGCUUACCAGGCUACUUCUGACGUUGAGGCACGAAAGCGUGGGUAGCAAACAGGAUUAGAUACCCGAGUAGUC